UGCAUAUCUUGCUGCCUGGCUUAUAUUUAUUUAGCUUAACCAUCUGUUAUUAGAAGAAAGCAUUAGAAGAAGGCAGAGUGUUUAGAACUGCCAACAGCUUUGACUUCAUCUCCUUUCAACUCUUUGACCCCUGAGAAUUCACAGCUUCAAAUAUACUCUCAAAGGAGUUCAUAACUUCCUCCUUAAAAAAUGAGGAGCUCCAACACUAAGGUCAGGAAGAUAUGAUGGAAGCCGACCAUCACAUAAGUAGAGAGGCAAAUCCCAGUUCCCAAAAAGGCUUUUUCACCAGGCUUUUAAACACCUGAACUGCUCCUUUGAGGAUCAGUGUAUGUGGAACACAACCUUAGACUAUAAAACAUGGGAGGAGAGACAAAGUAAAGUUUGCAAAAUGUGUCCUGUUUAAACUUAAAUUGGAGGUGUGUUCAUCUUUAUUCAGACCUAGUCCUAAUCUUACCUCUAGUUCUCAAGAACUCACUGUUAGGGUCACCAAAGGAGGUACGCAUAGGGCCAAUUUAAAGAAUUAUAAACGUAUUGGAAAACCAAAUGGGCUGAGCCCCAGAAUGGCGCCAGCACCCAGGGAUGGGGAGUUAGAAGUUUUAAAGGACUCUAGGUGGGCUUUUCCAGUGGAGAACUCUCUGGGCGAAUUCAGAUGCUGGGAAAGUCUGGAGGAGAGAGAUAGGGGAGAGAUAAUGGUCUUAGCAAGUAGAAUGUGGUCUAAGGGAAAGCGAAUGUCUGUUGUGAAGUGGUCUAAAGGUCAGUUCCCAGGGGAAGGCCUGAUUAUUUGAUCAGGCCUGCUUCCAUGUCUGAGAGUUUUAGGUCUGGUUUUAGGCUUUCUCAUGGUGACGUGCUUUCACACUCUUCUACUAGCAAGGACCUGGGAGAACAUUCUAAUAGAGGAGCAUGCUGUUCUGGGACCUCGGUCAAUGCUCAGUUUCCUUAUGGGAUAAAUAGGUUGAUGACUCCCCAAAUCCCUAAGUCUGAGCAUUCUCAAUUCUCUAGCUGCUCUCCGGUGUGACAUAGAACCAUGACUCAGGUAUCUAUAUCUAUAUCUAUAUCUAUAUCUAUAUCUAUAUCUAUAUCUAUAUCUAUAUCUAUCUAUAUCUAUAUCAUCUCU